CUGUCACUUGCUGCGGGCAGAUAUAGUGCACAUGGGCGUCGAUCGCGCCGGCGGUGACCAGGAGCUUCUCGCCUGCGAUGACUUCCGUGGAGGAGCCGACGAUGAGGUUCGGGUGCACGCCCGCCAUGACGUCGGGGUUGCCCGCCUUGCCUAUGGCGAUGAUUUUGCCACUUUUGACGCCGAUGUCGGCCUGAGAGCGGGAAUGAGCAUAUAUGCUAUGUGGUCCCGCAAUCGAACCAGCCACUGACCUUGUAAAUUCCAGUCCAGUCAACAAUCAAAGCGUUAGUGAUGACUAGGUCGAGGCAGUCCGCCUCUGAGCGGCCCGUUGCCUGGCCCAUGCCUUCUCUG
rnacentral:sRNA from 1 species